AGCAGUAGCCGCGGUAAUACGGAGGGUGCAAGCGUUAAUCGGAAUUACUGGGCGUAAAGCGUGCGUAGGCGGUUCGUUAAGUCUGUUGUGAAAGCCCCGGGCUCAACCUGGGAGUGGCAAUGGAUACUGGCGAGCUAGAGUGUGUCAGAGGAUGGUGGAAUUCCCGGUGUAGCGGUGAAAUGCGUAGAGAUCGGGAGGAACAUCAGUGGCGAAGGCGGCCAUCUGGGACAACACUGACGCUGAGGCACGAAAGCGUGGGGAGCAAACAGGAUUAGAUACCCCAGUAGUCCCUGUCUCUUAUAC
rnacentral:rRNA from 1 species